rnacentral:rRNA from 1 species
GUUGAACGCUGGCGGCAGGCUUAACACAUGCAAGUCGAGCGGAGUGAUGGUGCUUGCACUAUCACUUAGCGGCGGACGGGUGAGUAAUGCUUAGGAAUCUGCCUAUUAGUGGGGGACAACAUCUCGAAAGGGAUGCUAAUACCGCAUACGUCCUACGGGAGAAAGCGGGGGAUCACUUGUGACCUUGCGCUAAUAGAUGAGCCUAAGUCGGAUUAGCUAGUUGGUGGGGUAAAGGCCUACCAAGGCGACGAUCUGUAGCGGGUCUGAGAGGAUGAUCCGCCACACUGGGACUGAGACACGGCCCAGACUCCUACGGGAGGCAGCAGUGGGGAAUAUUGGACAAUGGGGGGAACCCUGAUCCAGCCAUGCCGCGUGUGUGAAGAAGGCCUUAUGGUUGUAAAGCACUUUAAGCGAGGAGGAGGCUCUUUUGGUUAAUACCCAAGAUGAGUGGACGUUACUCGCAGAAUAAGCACCGGCUAACUCUGUGCCAGCAGCCGCAGUAA